GUGUCAGCAGCCGCGGUAAUACGUAGGUGACGAGCGUUAUCCGGAAUUAUUGGGCGUAAAGCGCCCGCAGGCGGCUGUUCAAGUCUGACGUGAAAUCGCUCGGCUUAACUGGGCGGGGUCGUUGGAAACUGAAUAGCUUGAGGCAAGGAGAGGGGCGUGGAAUUCCCGGUGUAGUGGUGGAAUGCGUAGAUAUCGGGAGGAACAUCAGUGGCGCAAGCGGCGCCCUGGCCUUAGCCUGACGCUCAGGGGCGAAAGCGUGGGGAGCGAACGGGAUUAGAUACCCCGGUAGUCCACGCCGUAAACGAUGAACACUAGGUGUGGGUGGGUUCAAAACCAUCUGUGCCGCAGCCAACGCGUUAAGUGUUCCGCCUGGGGAGUACGGCCGCAAGGCUAAA
rnacentral:rRNA from 1 species